rnacentral:misc_RNA from 1 species
AUAUAUAUCAACCUCUUUGGCUAUUUUGGCUUGAGUUGUGUUGGAUGUGGGGGUUUAUUUUGCUGGCCUUUACGAGGUCAGCUCCCCUAAAAUGUAUUAGCAGAACGAUUUGCUGAAUCCUGUUCAUUGGUGUGAUAAUUAUCUAUGCUAUUGACAGGGAAAAAGCGAGUUCAGCUUCUAAUAGUCCAUUGACUUGGACAAAUUUUCAUUAAU